GUGUGUGUGUGAGAGAGAGAGAGAGAGAGAGAGAGAGAGAGAGAGAUAGUUAGAGAGAGAGAGAGAUGGCUAGGUCUAGUUUCCUGUUACCACAAGGUGGCAUCUUCCUUUCUACAGCUUCCUUCUGCUUCAUGUCUGAUAUACACAUGCUAUAUGACAAGCAGGAGUGAGGAACUAGAUGCAAGACAUCAUGCAAACUGUGUAUAUUUAAUGAGUAUCAUUGUACUGCUAAUAUUAUAGUAUACAGACUUCAAAAACACUUCAACUUCAAAAAACAAAAAAACAAAACAAACACACACUCCUAUAUAAAUACAGAAUGCAAAAACAUGAGCAUGUGCACAUGCGAACGUUGGUAAUGAAUAACUAACUUUAAAAAAAAGCCCUAAACAGAUAGAUACAGCUAGAUAUAAAUGAUAUAAAAUAAAUUAAAUAAUAGGCUGGGAUGCAGAAGCAAGAUGACACACUACUGCCCAUCUAAGGCCUGCCUGCAUAAAUAGUGCCUUUCAAAUGGACACUAUAUUGGGUCCUGUGCUACUGCUCUUUCAACUGCUGACAGUUACAGGGAAAUACAGAGAGGGAGACAGAAUGAGAGAGAGAGAGACAGCUAGCCCAGCUAGUUUUUCCUAGCUGAGGCACUAUUCUCCUCACCCCUCACUCUCUCUCCUCACCUGUUCAUUUCUUCCUGCCAUUUGCCAUAUGGACAAGCACUGCACACUGAGUAAACAGUUCCAUUUCCAUCGGCGGUGGUUCAUUACGAGACGUGUUCAUUCUCCUUUUCAUGGGCUAGCUUUAGCAGCUGUAGCCUCACUAAUUUCUAUAGGUGCAAUUAAACAUCUGCUUCCUGAGGCUGAUUAAUAUGAUCACCACGUUGAACAAUACAGACGAAUAAACAAGACGGUGAGAAUGCACGUAUCAAAUUAUGGUGACGCAUGUAAGACAAUAUAUACAAUAAUACACUAUAUGGUGUGUGUGUGUGUAUAUAUAUAUAUAUAUAUAUAGAGAGAGAGAGAGAGAUAGAUAGAUAGAUAUGUAUAUAUAACAUUUCCCUUCACUGAAACUAAGAGGCCCAAACAUGUUCAAGCAGGACAAUUCCCCUGUGCACAAAGCGAGCUCCAUGAAGAAAUGAUUUGCCUUGUUGAUGAGAUAGCUAUAUUGAGUAAACAGGCAUUAUAAUUGGAUUGAUUGAAUUAUAUCUUAUUAUUUUAUCCUUUUAUUCUAUGUAUAUGUACUGCACUUUGGGCAACUAUAAAACUAUCUGUUUUAUAUGUGCUUUGAAAAUACAACUUACUUACUAAAUAAAGCUUACUUACCUUCAUCUCAGGUUCUACAAGCAGAGAUUCCUCAAAAACGUCCUGUUAAUGUCUAAAUCUUUCACUGAACAACUCUAUAAAACAAGCUCAAUAAGCCCAUAUUCAAUGGGCCUUUUUUUCUAUUUCAUCCCCCCUAAACACAUCAAUCACGUACAUUUGAAAUGGGAGAAAUAAAUGUACCAGAAAGAAAGAGAUCUAUCUCUUGUAAAGGAAUACUCAUUACAAAUACAUUUACAUGUAGUUUGUAUUCUACCUUGUGUAGCCCUGCCUGAAUUUUUUUUUUUUUUUUUUUUUUUUUUUUUUAAGAAUAAGGUCUCAUUCAGUUUUCUAGUGUGAAUAAGUCUGAAAGCUGUCUUGUUUUGGUCAAAUGGUCAACAACAAAAUUAUUCAUUUUCAUGGUUGUCAAUUUCAGCCAAAAGAAUAUGACUAUUAUUCAUAUACAACCAAAAACACAAUAAAACAGUGUGAAAUGAUGCAUGUUGGUGGUAAAUAGUUUCUUUCUUGUUGGAUGCGAAAACACAAGGGAGAAAAUUUUUUUAGCAACACUGUCAGUCUCUCUUUUAUAAAGUAGGGGUAAAAAACACUGGGGUAGCUUUAUUAUCAGAUUGAAUCUGGAGGCCAUCAUGUAAAUAGGUCUGCAUCUUGGGAAGUUGAUAUGCAAAGUAGCCCUGUCCCGUGUGUCAGGAUCUGUGCAACAAGGAGAUUAAUGGAAUCCUAAAAGUGUAAAUUAUAGCCUUUACCCAGUGUGGUGUGGAGAGGAGGGCCAGCUGCCCCCGGGGAGACUUCCCACAAAGCAAUUCCAGCCGCUCCACACAUGCAGAUCCCUCCGACGCAGAGGUGAAGGGCAAUUUCCCUCAGCCUCACUUCUUUAUUUAUAUCUGCAGAUUGACUGGCUGGACACAUCUACAUAACCAUGUGAGGGUGGCUGAUGAACAUGCACAAUAUGAAACACAAUAACCCUCCUGUGGCAAUAAUAACCAUAUUGGUGCUUUUUUCCUCCAUUGUCUUUUGAACCCAUAAUCAAUGCAUUACAAAAAGUAUGCUAUAUUUCUAUCGGAAUAAUACCAUUACCAACCUGGAAAAUAGUGGCAAAAGAACUACAGCUAACGGUUAUUGCAAAACACUGUAAUGAGGCCUAGGAAAGCAAACAAUGCAUAAACAUUUUUCAGCAGCCAUCAGAGUCAGGGAAUAACGCAUAAUACAUGCAAAUGCUGCCGCAUGCUUGCCUGGUAGAGGCACAAAAAAAAAAUAAAAAAUGCAAGAAAGAAAAGCUCCCAGAACACACCCAGCAUCUGUGAAUAGGAGCUGACAGGGGAGCACCUCCGGACAGAGCGUCAUAAUUACGAGCACUGUGUAAUGUGUGUAUUUUAAUGGAAUGAUGCAUGUCCUUGGUAUUAAAACACCUCUUCAAAUCUGUCCUUUCUUCUGCUCACAUCCUGUGUCUUUUAUUCUUUUUUUUUUCUUUUUCGCUUUCAGGUCUGGCUACACUGAUGUCCUCUCUGCUUCCCCCCACCUCUCCCUUUUUACUAUUCAUUGAGAUACAAUCGGCAGUUGGCACUUCUCCAGUGUUAGAUGCAUUUGAAUAAUACAUGACAUGCCCUUUCGCUGACAUCACAGUGCCAGAGCUCCGACAAGGUAUGACUCUUAUUCUAUAUACACUUCCAAUGUUCGGCUGUUCACAAUCUAUACUGUCAACAAUUUAUCAAGGGGAUGCAGAGUGGCUCUGCCAAGUUAUCAGAGUGGUCGGCGAGCGCGUGUGAUCUAGUCGCAGCAUCUGGCUCUUCACUGCUCCUGACAUUAGCACAGACAAGAGAAUCAGUGGACUAUUGAAUGCAAUUACAGUAAGCGAGACAGACAAUAAAGAUUGAUAGCGCUUUCUCAUUUUAUCACAUGACAAACAUAGCGGAGGUUAAGGCAGCGCCUUCAGCUGCCUGGAUCUAAUAAUGAUUGAAAAUAUGCUACGGUGUGGGCACAGAGAGAGGUUCAAAGAAAGAACAUAGAAAUGACGAGAUAUGCAAUCCCAUGUACAUGCAUUACGCACACAGUGUGUAUUCAUUCACGUUCACACAAAAUAUGCAAAACACACAACAUGGAAAUACAGCACAUGUCAAAGUUCAUAUAAGCAAAUAUAUGGCGCGCAUAAUACUGGGUUUUAAAAGACGGAAAAGCCUUAGAUGUAGUUUGCAUUCAGCAUCGCUGAAUAUUUACACUACAUCGAUUAUAUUUUUUUCGAGCAAUCCGAAUGAUUAAGAGGGGAGAAAGUCUGCAUGCAUAUUUAAACAAUGCAAAAGAUAAUAAAUGGAUCCCUUCAGUACAAUCAACAACCUCAGGCAAAGCAGAGGAGAAACAUCCGAGGGAAAUAACCUCAACAUUGACCACACACACACACACACACACACACACACACACACACACACACACACACACACACACAUACAUGCACAAAACCCUAACAUCAGCUUUAAAACUAAGCAUGGGACAGAAAAACAUCUGUCAAAUUGCAUUGAAAGGACCUGACAUGGUUUUGACUACCUGGCCAGUAUUACGUAUUGUAAUUUUAACUGAGCUUAGUAGCAAACAUGACGAAUGUUUAAUUCCCUGGAAGACUGUGGAAGAAAAACCAUUUUGUAGCAGACAUGGAGGAGAUGACAUGUCACUGUGAGGCUUUUCCAUUAUUUGCUUGAGUAAUCAUAACAGUACAACAUACUUCUGUCCCCCCCAAGAGUUAAUUGCACUAUGGUGGGAACAGGCCAGUGAAGGCAUUGCCGUGUUUUGCAUGCAAUGCUGCUCCGUUCCCUUUCUCUUUAUGAUAUGAACAGAUUUUAAUACUACCACAUCACACUUCAGGAUUACUAUAUCUGUGGAGCUCCCUUGAGAAAACAUGCUAUUAAGGAGUCAGUAAGGAGACAGUGUCACUGAGCCAAUAAAAUAUAACGACAUACAUAUAGCAAAGCACACACACACUCAAAUAAAUGAAACCGCAUAAACUGCCAUAAUUAUUAACAAUUUUCAGUCUUGCAUUUCAAAACACAAAAAUCAAAGUAAAAAAACCAGAAGCAAAACCGACUCAAAGUUUGUGUUAUGUCUCCCUGAUUCAGACAGAAGGUUGGGGGGGGGGGGGGGGGGGGGGUGUUUGUGUGUGUGUGCGUGUGUGUGUGUGUGUGUGUGUGUGUGUGAGAGAAGGGGGGGGGGGUUGACAGCUGAAGAUAUUUGCAUGCACACACGGUCGCACACGCAGUCACAGACAAGGUGCAAGGGACUUAUCAGCCAAGAUAAGGCCUGGCUGGCCUUUUUACCUGGGGAAUCCAGGUCUAAUCUGAGAAAGACUGUCAGGAACAAAGAGAGACCGCUUCCUCCAGGACAGCAGAGCUAAAGUGAGGCCCAACUUUGCUCCUCAGCUUUUAUCUCUUCCCUUCAUUUAGGCCCACACUUAUUGUUCCCAUAAUGCAGUGCUUUUAUCCUUGUGCAGUGACCCCAUUGCUUGUGGAUACUGUCUCUCUUGUCCUGUCACUCUUUAAUAUGUGAGAGAAUAAAUAUUUACAUUUGAUCAUUUUUCUCUUUUUUCUUAUUUUGCAAAGUUGACUUUGUCCUCCAUGCUGUCUACCAUCAGUGAGGUCAAUUUGCCCGAACUAUUUAUUCACCUGGCAAAAUGAGCACAAACAGUUUUGCAUCAGAUUAAUAAUCUGUCAAAUACGCCAAUGGUAAUUUAUGGACCUACUGGUCAGUACAACGUUUACUGACCAAACAAAUCAUUUGCAUAUAAAACAGUGUCCUCACAAUCAGACACUACAGUGGUUACACUGAGGCAUAAGCGCCUGCUCAUACACACAAAUUACCAUUAGCCUAAAAAAAAAAAAAAAAAAGUAAAAAAAGUAAACAACUGUGUUAACAUCAUCUCAUUAAUUCACAUAUGUUGUCUCAUGUCUCAGCUGUGCGAAUCUGUUAAGAGAGUUCUCUUAAAAUCAUCACCAAAAAAUUUAUUUUUUCAAAUAAAAGUACAUAAAAAAUCCUCCAAAGAUAACUGUCAUUCAGGAUGUGCAUGAACACUUUGACAUACUGCUCAUAAAUAGAGUAGAUAAGGCAGACCCGAGACUCCUGUUCCUCAGUCAGUGGCCACUGGAUUUCCUGCAUAUUCAAAGAGCCUAAUUCCUCACUCAUAUAAAUAUGUUAUUUUCAUCCUGCCAGCAUGACAAAUCCUUGAACUGUAUGCCACUUUUAGUUGGCGCCACCAAAAAUGCCAUAUUAAUGUCAAAAGAGAUGUAACGAUUUAGAUCCGUCAGAUUGCCUGAUGUCAGAGCACACCCGUCCUUGGAGAUGGUUCAUUCGAGAUUUCCCAUCAGAGUCCAAGGUGGAAAGAAGAUAAGCCUGCUCUUUGAAUUGUGAAGCUCUAGAGGAAACAGAGGGCCACAAGAUUUUUAGAAACUUUACUAUCACCUGCUCUUUGGCACGGUUCCUAGCUGAGGUCAUUUCAGCAUAUAGGACUAUACGGUGAAGCAUGUGUAAACAAAUUUUAAAACCUACACAAAUGCAUGGUUUUAUGUGUGUUUGAGUGUGUGUGUGUGUUCCCUUGUCUCCAUUGAGUGUGCUGUAAAGCAUCAGUGUUUAAUGAAGGAACUGGUAGAGGUCAGGAGGACACCGGAGCACCACCUGUCCAGGCCAGAGAGUGCAGCAAACGCUGCCUCCAUUUUAAGGGUCAUUAAUUACGCAGACAGGGAUUAUUCUGCAUAGCUUCCUCUUAUGCUUCCUCAUCCCUGACACAGCUUAACAGGUUCAAGCUCCGAUACAUCAAAUUCAAGAUAAAAUCUCCAAUAACAAUUAAGCCGGAAGCACGCAAAUUGCUGAAGAAGAAAAAAAAUGGUCAAUACCUAUUACUGCCUCUGAAUACUAAAAUAACAAAUCGCCUUUUUUCCCUUUUUUUUUUUUUUUUUUUUUUUUUUUGCAGCACAAAUAAUAAACACUGGAACUUGUGGAGAUAUGACUCAGCACAGCACAACAAAAUGUGAAUCAGCUCAGCAUAAACAAAUGCAUGUAUUAUGAGAAAAAUACAACACCAAAAAUAAGUGUCUAUAGAUGUUUAUCUCUCUAUGCCAGAUAGAUGGUUUGUCACUAAAUUAGGCUAGAUUUAAACUGCUGUUGUAGGGUUUUUUUUUUUGAUUGUCUACAGAUUGGGGUUGAGCAUUUUGCAUACACGAGAUUAAUAAUAUAUCUAUUUCAAGCCCUUAAAGCUCCCAGGACACAAUGGUAGGUCCAAACAUACUGUGCGUUCUUCACACCCGUUGUUACAGCCAUUUUGCCAUUUUGUUGUGGAGUUGGAAUUUGGGGCUGUUUUUGAUCUGUUUGUUUGGGAUUGUGUUGUGUUUUGUGAGGUUUGGUGGUGCAAUUGCUCCUGGGUCAUGGGUCACGUGUGGUGUGGGAGGUGUAUAUAACGUGGGUUAACCUUCCAACAGGCGCGGAUGGAAAUGGAGAGCUGGGAAGCACACCUAUUUUGACCACGCUCCUGCACGCCAAUUCACAAUAAGUCAUUUUACGUUAAAUUCAAUAGUAAGGUUUCAUUUCAAUAAGUUUUCAUUCAUUAUUUGUUUUUGUUAAGAAAAAUAAAGGUCUUUUUAUCUACGGCAUGCGAGAGAGUGCGUUAAUCCAACCCUGGUUCCCCCGUUUCCCCUGCAUCGAACAAAUCGCUGACACACUCGUAUUUAAACAGCCAGUUAUUAUAAGGGGGUAAAAUCACUUUAAGAGCAUAAAAUCCAUGUUCAAAAGAAAUAUACUCAAAAACAAUAUUAAACUGACCUCAAAAGCACAUUCCUAAACUUUUCAGCAUGCAUUAGAAUUGGUCUCUUCUUAUAAGUGUUCCUCAUCAUCUCAUUCUCAAAUUUAGCAGUAUUAGUUUAAUAUAUGAAUGUAUAAAUUUAUGUCAGAGAAUUGGUCUUCUCAUUGUAAUAGCUGGAAACAGGUAUAUGUAUUACUUAAUACUUUCUUUAACAACAUACAAAUGUUUCCCUGUAACUUCAUUUUUAAUAUUGUUGUUACUGUUGUUGUUGAAAAUUUAUGGUUGAAAACUUAAAAUAUUCCUUUAUCUCCUGAUACACUAUCACUAAGUCACUAAGUCACUAAGGAUAUGGUUUGGGAAGUCAGUGGAUAGGGUUUGGGAAGUCAAUGGAUAGGGUUUUGGAAGUCAGUGGAUAGGGUUUGGGAAGUCAAUGGAUAGGGAUUUGGAAGUCAAUGGAUAGGGUUUGGGAAAUCAGUGUAUAUGAUUCGUGAAAUAAGUAGACAGGGUUUGAGAAAACAGUGGCUAGGGGUUGGUAGAUCAUUGGAUAGGGUUUGGGAAGUCAGUGGAUAGGGUUUGGGAAGUCACUGGAUAGGGUUUUGGAAAUCAGUAUAUAGGGUUUUAGAAAUCAGUGGACAGGGUUUUAAAAAUCAGUGGAUAGGAUUUUAGAAAUCAGUGGACAGGGUUUUAGAAAUCAGUGGACAGGGCUUUAGAAAUCGGUGGACAGGGUUUCCGAACCCUGUUUCUGACCAUCAGUGUUUUAUUCAUUGUAAGUACCCUGUAUAGUACACUCAUACAUCAUCUCUCUGCAUGAAGUCCUCUACACCACAAAUAAGAUGACAAUUGCUGUAACUUAAUGUGUGUGCGUGUGUGUGUGUGUGUGUGUGUGUGUGUGUGUGUGUGUGUGUGUGUGUGUGUGUGGUGUGUUUGUGUGUGUGUGAGUGUGUGUGUGUGCUUUAUGUUCCUGCUAUUCUCCUGCUUUAUUGGUUGUUAACAGCAAAUGUCCACAGUCCAACAGUGGUUGAACAUCACUAUGGUGAUUGAUUCACUGGGUCAUUGCCCAGGCUUUCAUGUUGCUCCAAACACACCUUUCCCUCUACUACAGUAAACAACACACACACACACACACACACACACACACACACACACACACACACACACACACACACACUCACAUAUACACACAGCCAGUUGCACAGGAGGGCAUCACAUACACGUUCCAUUAUUCAUCCUCUCUCUCAGGCUGCUGACAAUCCUUCUCAGAUGACACUUCUCAGUGGCUCUACUGCCGACUUCAAAACAAGUGUGAAAGUGUCCACCAGCAUGAAACAUGGAGCCAUGCAAUAUGCAUAGUACACAAUAUUCACAGAUAAAAUAGUUAAACGCUUACCAGAAUGCCAUAUCAAGCCACCAAGUAUUAUUCAGUGCUGUGAUACUGAAUGUGACAUGGAAGUUUAUGGCUUUAUUUUGUAUCAUGUGAGUGUUUGUUGGUUCUGGUUGUACACAACGUCAACAUCUCCACCCAAGAAUCAAUCACUAUGGUGGUGUUCAACCAGUGUGUGUGUGUAUUCGUACACAGCCAUGGACACACAGGAAAUAAUAAAAUGUGAAAGACUACACUGAGCUUCAUGAACACUGCAUAUAACUGAAAAGAAUGGGGUGGAAAAAACAUUAUCCAGUAUUGAAGUCCAGCUUCAUUCUGCGACUCACCUAACCAGUGAAACAAACUCACAGAGAUAAAGCAGAAAUGUUUAACAAGGCUUUAAAUCCAUUCUAAUCUGCACCUAACUGUUAUGUCUUAAUUAAAAAUGUAAAUACCACCCUACUUCAUAAAAUCUCGGGUGACCUACAUUAGAAUUAAUGAUGUCGCCGGAUAGCGUGCAGGACGUCGGAGGAGAUUCCCAAUGAAAGAGAAUUAGAAAGAAGCUGACCCAAAUACAAUCUCACCAGCAGAGGAAUCAUGUUAUGCUAAGUAGGCCAUAAAGGUACUUAAAGAUUAUGCAAAAAUUCUCUUUUAGUAGAUGACAUGAAGCAAUGAAAGUCGGGCAAAUCUCCUGGUACGGAAAAGGUUCCCACCCAGCUCAUUACAGGGCACAAGAAGACAUGUGAACACAGAGCUGAGACAAUAUCGAGCGUAUCAAAAUCUUAUUCAGACAUGAAAUGUAUGGUGUGUUUAACCAUGUUUAACCAUUGUCUCGAUUUAAGAUGCGGUUAGAAUGACGCAAAAACACUAUCUACAUGGGAUUCCCAAGUGCCACAAAAGAAAGGUGUUUGCUAUAUCAUCUGGAGAGCAUGAGAUGGAAUCCUGAUGUUGAGAUGUCAUCCAUGGCCUACCCAGUCUCACAGAGAGAAAACAAACAAACAAACAAACAAAAUGUUCACUCGCAACUUAUCUGCAGCACCUCCUGUAUGUAUCAAAUGUAUAAUGUAUCACUUGAAUGCUCUUUAUGGCAUUUUCUUCACCAAUGCAUUUUAACUAAACUAACAUGAACACAUACGCUAUUUGAAUAAGCUCAAUAUGUAUUAAAUAAUUUACCUCUCUUUUACAUAAUUGAUCUCUUUUUUAACAUAACCUUGUGCUUUCCAUGACAUAUGAUUAGACUUUCCAAACUAAUGAAACUUCUCCUGUUCACUGCAAACACAAUCGAGCCAGGUGGAAGCGCAUUAAUGGUAACUCUGGUAUUUUCAAAGCAGACCAUAUUGAAGGUGCUGCAGAUAAGUUACAUGCGAAUGUGUUGGUUGUGAUUGGGUUGUGGCCAGAGUACAAGGGAGUAAAGUGGGAGGGGUGGCAUUAUUCUCUCCCCUGUAAAUCACAGCAACAAUAGCCAAUGGUGGUCAACUGUGAGCUCAUGUUUUGCAGAAGGAAAUAUCUGUUUCUCAGAGGAAGCAUGCACUAGCCUUCACCAUCCCUGGUUAGUAGUAACAUCCCUGCCAUGUGAUAGAGGAGAGCUAGCUAGGUGGGGGAGGACUGGAGAAAUGGGGUAUGUAUGUACGUAUGUAUGUUUGACCGUUAAAAAUUGUCGGACACAAUGUCCGGUAAACAUGUUAACACGAAGCAGAUAUACAUUAGACAAAGUACAUUUGCAAUUGUUCACCUAAAUAAGGUCUCUAUGUCUGUGCAAAUAUAUAUUGUUUAUGUUUCUCCUGUAGUGGGUAUUCUGACUGGCUCGCUAUUACAUCCUUGAUACUUACGCAGUUUGUAUAUGUGAGCGUGUGCGGUAUAUAGCUCAAAUAUUACAAGUCCAUCUGCCGAAAAAUGCCGGACAAAAAGAUUUCACAAAACCGCUUCUGUGCCAUGAAAAAUCGCAGAAAAUAGUCAUAAAAAUGAAGAGAAACAAAUUAGUGUGGGAAAUUAUAUGAUUUUCGGUAUUUUAAUAUUUCUUUGUAAACAGAAAUAUACGUGGCAAACUGUAGUUUAGCAUUUUGCUGCAUCCUGUUUUUGUUUUGAAAGUUUGUUUUUUAGACACUAAUUCCACACUACUGUCUAUUAGACAGUAAAUAUACUUUUACCUUUCAUUUGACUUGAUUGUUUUGUUAUUAUUAUAUUGUAUAUACUAUGCAUAAUCCAAAAUGUUACACGGGGCAAAAAUAAACACCGAAAUGUAUAUUGUUUACGUUUUACCAAAAUUUCUAAGUGAAAACUCUGAUACGUAUGUAUGCAUGUAUAUUGUAACAAUCAACCUAUCAAACAAACAAACAAAUAAAUAAAUAAAUGUGGAAUAUUCCAGAGCUCGAAGGAGAGUCUUAUGCGUUUGAAUGCACAUGAGUACACAGUUUAAAGUUGCUCAGUGAACUCAUUCCUGAGUAGAUUAUUGGAGGAUUUUUUGAGAAAGCAUGCAGCUAUUCUUCAGCAUUCUCAUGCUUCCCUUCUGUCUUAUCCAACCCAGUGGCACGGCCUACUCACAGUCCCACGCACACAUCCAGGCACCGAGCCAAAGGGGCAGUGGUGAGACCCUGGUGGAACCCGUGCACCAUGAGCCCUGACUUUUACGACUUCAUUAUUUUCCUUCCCCGUGACGCUCGCUUUCAUUUGUGCAAGCCUCCAUGUUGGCAUAAUGACUCCUCUAUAAAAACGUUGCUUUAAAAAGAGCUUUGCAUACUAUCCCAUUUUCUGUUGAAUCCUUCAGCAAGCAUAUGGCAGGUAAUCAGGUUGGCAAUCACAGGGCCCAUAAUAUGUGCAGCAUGAUUUCAGCAUUGUGCUAUUACCCAUCUGGUUCUGCACACAGAGACAUGAACCUUAGUGAGAGAGGUCAGCGCUUUCAUGGCACUGCCACUUUCUCAAAAGCCGUCUCCUUCCCAGGACACAUUAUUUGUUAUUUUUUCUGGACUCCCAGCCAAACCCUUUCUCUAUCCCUCCUCCUCUCUUUCUCUCCCUCAAUCAUCCAUUUAUUCCCUCUCUCUCUCUCUCUCUCUCUCUCUCUCUCUCUCUCUCUCAGUCACAUCAGUGGAGUGUGUCUGGUGAGUGAGCAGCACUGAUCCUGCUUUGACAUUCACAUUACACACUUAAAAAUUGUCAAUGCUUUAAAUGUAUUAAAUGUGUGCCAAGGUCCAGUGAGUUCUUUGUGAAGAGUUUGAAAAUAAGUAAUCAUCUCAUCCGUAGGAAAAAGAAAAAAAAAUAGAAGGAGAAAAGAGGCAGCAGCUGUGAUGGAACAUUUCGGAGAAUUUCCUGCAUUCUGAGCAUGUGCAACGAAAAUGUAAUAAUACUGAUAAUCAGCAUUCAUUGUAACAAGCAAGGAUUAUAUAAGUCAUUUGUCCAUUUAUUGCUCUGUAGUCUUUUUAUUUAAGCAAUGUUAGGGAAGAUGUAAGCCACAAUAUGCUAGGAAGAAUAUUUAUAAAUCAAGUAACAUUUCCGGAAGAUAGUCUGUAGUUCAAAAUAAAUGCAUAAAAAAAACAAUUAAAUAAAGAAAAAAGACAGACGAACGGACGGACAGACAGACAGACAGACAGACAGACAGACAGACAGACAGACAGAUAGAUAGAUAGAUAGGAAAAAAAUAUAGGCUUCUUUGACAAUAAGGACACAGCACAUUCACUUGUUGCAGGAACGAUUUAAAUUAUCAUUUUCAUCUUAUUAAAUGAUUUGGUGUCUGAUCAAGCAUAUUAAAAACCCACCUACACAGUGGUUGUUUAAUGGUGACUUUUGAACCUUUUUCAUGAAUACUAUGUAUUAUUUAUGAAUUAUUUAUGUAAUUAUUUAUGAGCUAGUUAAUAAUUAAAAGGUGAAUACACUACAGUUAUGCUACUGAAAAUCAACAACACUGGUCAUUUGAUUGAGAGCUCAGUUCAAAGAAUUUCCCAACUCUUUUGUCGCUAUUGAUCCACUGUUGCGCUGACAUAGUGGAUGUCUUUAAUACCGGCAGUUUCACACACUGAGGCCUGCAGUGACUCGCUGCCAAACUGCAACACACGUGUUAAUUAGUCCUGUAUGUAAUCACGUAGCUAAUUCACUUGGCGGGCCUGCAAAUAUGAUAAUAAGACUACAUAUAUUAGUACUGAUAGGAAAUGAAUCAUUUUCAUAGCAAUAAACCAUUGUAGCACUUGAUAUUACUUAUUACAUUUCUACAUUUCUGUGCAUUAACAAUGUUUUUUUCCCCCUCCAUGUACAAUUUUAAUUACGUAGCUAAUCGUUAAAGUAAACGUCUUAAGUAAAACAAUAAAGAUGCAAGAAAUUAGAGAGGUUCACAAAAAAUGUGCAUGCUGAGCACUACUGUAAAAUACUAACCAACAGUUAAACAUGCCACACAAAUAAAUCUGGCCUUCAUGUCUUGUACACGCAUUAAAAGCUGGUUAGGUUGCACAUGAGGUCAGUAAAAGAGAGUGAAAAUGUCUGGAAUCAAGCAGUAAUGCUUAAAUAACAAUAACCUUAGAGCAGCCAGUAAGAUAUUCAACAUUUGUCUGGGCUACUUUAGUAUGAUGUGUAUAAAAACAUGCGGUUACAACUCUUAUCACCCAUAACACUGGAAGGGACUGAUCCUUUUAAGCAGAAUGACAAGUGGAGUAGCAUCCACCAUUUGAAUGACUUUUAUUGGGCUUUAAAAUUACUGGAGAGGUGAAGGGGUCAAGAGGGAGAGCUUACAGGAGAGCCGAGGAAAAAAAAAAAAAUCAUUUUUCCUGGCAAAGAAUAACAGGCUCUGUGUCAGUGCCAUAAACACAAACUGAACACAAAAGACAUUUCAAGUCAGUAUAAAAUACAGUAGGCUCUAUGGGGCAAGACAAAAGCGGCUGGAAGAUAAAGGCUUCAUUGACAAGCUGAGCACUGAAGACAACUUAACCCUGGAUCUGGCAGCAUGCAUGGAAGCAAUUAUUUCCACCUCUGAGUCUGCUUAGGAUGAGCCCCUUGCAUUUUUGUGGUACAGUUCUUCAUUGCUUCUACUCCCACAUACUACAGUGUGCGUUUCUGAAAAUUUGACUUACAGUGAGGGAAGGAAAGGGGAAGAGUGGGAGUGAAAAGAAAAAUGUGUUAUUUGGUACUAGGGGUAUGACGGUUUAAUGAUAUGACAGUGGGGAUGACAUCUCUCUCUCACUCUCUCUCUUUCUCUCUCUCUCUCUCUAGCAGGAGCAUUUUAUUAAAGUUUUAUGCUAAUAAAAUAAUUGAAGAUUAUGAGAGAAAACUGCAAUUCUACCUCCUUCUACAUAUCCAAUAUGUGUACAAUACAAGAUAUAUAGUAUACAGUACAACAAUUAAACAAUUACAUAUUACAAUUACAAGAUUUAAAUGUAAUAUUUAAUGCUACAGUAUUAUAAUGUAUUCCUAUGUGAGUCAGAAACGACUCACUCACUCACGUGAGUCACUUUCACUCAACGUGGAACAUACAUUAAAUACAACUGAACCAUAAAACUUCAAUAUGCAAAAUCAGCAGUACUGUGCAAAAGUUUUAGGCACCCUGUUUUUCUUAGUAAAAAUUUUAUUAUAGUUUUUUUUCUUUUAUUUGAUGACUUCUACAUUAUCAAGUCAGUACAAAAAACAUUUCCCCAAACAUUGGGUUUCUAGCACAAAAUUAAAUGUUACAGAAAAAUGUUUGUAUGUCAUUAAAGAAAGCAGCAAAUUACAUAAGAGGCACUUUUCAGACAAAAAACAUAACGAAGGCUGCUGGAUUUUGCUGCAAAAAUAAAAAGCAAGUGCGACAGGCAAAUUCUCCAGAAGAACUUGAUAGCUAAUUUCCUUAAAAAACUGCACUAAUUGUACUGGAGACUACUAUUUUUUUUUAUUAUUUAUUUAUUUUUGUCACACUAAAUAUUGACUUUGUUUCAUUUACUACUGUUAACUGCUCUUUAUGCAAUUUUUUUAAAAUGUAGAAACGUUUAAUUUUAUUAUUUUGAAAGUAUCUUUGCUCUACAGCUUUUCUUUGCAUGUGCCUAAAACUUUUGCACAGUACUGUAUCUGAUAAAAAAUUUAAACACCUAAAAGGCAAAGAGCAAUCUUCAUAGUAGUUCUAUUUGAGAGAAGAAACAAACCCUGUCGUUUCCCAAAACACAGAAUUUAAUACCCAUGCCACUACUACAAUGUUACUAAAAAAUGUUAUUUAUUUUCAAAAAGGUUGUAACCAGCUUUCAUGAUUUUGAGUUGUAUAAGAAUUCUUCAUAUGGUGUCAUGGCAUGUAUUUCUGUGCAGAAAAACACAUUCACCCCAACGCAUGCACAGCUGAGCUAAUUGAGUUUAUAGUGAACAACUACAGCUAGCAUAGCACUGGCUAUUAUUUGUGAAAGAAGAAAAAAUGAAUGGAAAUAAAAUGAAAAUACAAAACAUCUCUCUCACUAUUACUACCUUAAAUUAAAAAAAACAAACUGUCACACACUAUAGCAUGUUAUUUAAAAUCUAUGGCUAAUGCUCCUAGUAGUAUUAAUAAUACAUUCACUCAUGAUCUAAUACUUUAUAUAUUAUCCUUUUUAAUUUCAUACAUUAAGUUCAUACAGAGAGUGGCAUCAUCUGCUUUUUCUUUCCAGUCCCAUUAAGCUAUCAAUAUCUCAAAGUGUAAACAACAAAUGUUUAUUUGGGACUGGAUCUCUGAUUAUAUCCCCCUAGCUGAAAAGCACGUGAUGUGGAAUACAUUACAAUGCACUAAAAGUUUCUCUCACUCUCUCUCUCUCUCUCUCUCUCUCUCUCUCUCUCUCGCUGCCUGCUGAAGGUCUUGUUUGUACAACUCUCAGCCCAAAUCUAUUAUUACUUCCUAAACUGACGAAUCAUUUCCACAAAUACACGCUUCCCCUCAUGCUCGCUGAUAAGAUAAAUAGUGAAGUCGACAGACACGGAGGACAGGCACGGAGCUAAGACGUUCACAUUUCAAUAUGCAAAACAUCUCUCUAUGAUUGUCCAUUUACAGAAAAUAGGAAGAAGAAAAAAAACUAGCAAUAGGCAUGGGACCGAUCCAACACCCAUGAUUGGUAUCAGACCGAUACCAGCAAACGAGAGGAACGGAUAUCAGUUGGAAAAAAGAAAUGGAAAAGAUUGGAAUUAAAUUUGGAAAAGAUUUCUUUUGAACUGGAAAUGUUUACAUACUUGAUUGUACUUGAUUUAUUUUUUAUUAUACAGGGGGUCCCAAAAGUCGCCAUACACGGGGUAAAUGAACACUUUUUAGCAAAAUGUCUUCCAAAAUUGUUCAUACUUAGUUUAUAUAUUAUAUAUUUUUACCACAGAUAGCCUUCAGAAUGCCUUUAACAAAAGUAGAAAGCAUUGAAAUCAUUCCCAAUGUUGCCAAACUUAUUAACAAAUUCAAAAUUUGUUGUGAACCAACCCAGACGUGGAUGUCCAUGAACAUUCCUAUGUGCGGAGACUAUUUGGGACACCCUGUAUUUACACUUUAUACUUUAUGUUAGCUAUGUAUCUUCCCCUGUAGGUUUUUUCUUUUUUAAGUGAAAUCUGAUACUCAAGAAUUCAGUAUUGGAAAACUAAAAAAAUGGUAUUGUGCCAUCUCUAACUAGCAAAUGAACAUCCAUGAAGCUGUCACUGACUUAAUUUUUCAUUAUAACCCAAUAUCCAACAAAUUCCAGCUACUUAUAAGCAAACUAUGAUCACGAAGUCAUUCUAGGGUGUCUACUCUCACCUUUAUUGACAACAACGGUCAAAAAUCCUGUGGUCAUGUCAUUCAUUUUCAUCCAUGGUAAAAUGGUUGGAUCUUUUUCCCCGUACUGAAUAACAGAUGUUAAAAGUGAAACUACAAAAGUUAUUAAUAAUUAACACUGUUAUUAACACAUGCAUGUAUAUAUAUGCAUGUAUGUAUGUAUGUAUGUAUGUAUGUGUGUGUGUGUGUGUCUGUGUGUGUAUAUAUAUAUAUAUAUAUAUAUA
ensembl:lncRNA